AUAUACAUAAACAUUUCUAAUAUGUGGGGGUUGCGCCCAUUCCUGGGCCUUUAGCGUCCCUUUGGGUCUAUUAAUUCAGUCAGUUAUGCUGCCAGUUAUAUACAUAUUUCUAUACAUUUCUUUCUUGCGCCCUUCAUGUUUCCUGUUACCGGUUGCAGGUGUUUUUUUGUUUGCCUGUUUACCUGCCAUGUCUUUCUCUCUCCCUCCCCCUUUCAGUUUGUGCUUUCUCCUCCUGUCACUGUACUAUUUACGGUGUGGGGUCUAGGGGUAUGUGGAGUCCUGUGUGUCUUUGUCUUCCCUCCCCUCCUCCCCUCUCUCCCUCUUUCUCUGCUUUCUGUUUGUAGUUUUCUUUUUG